GACGAACGCUGGCGGCGUGCUUAACACAUGCAAGUCGAACGGAAAGGCCCUGCUUUUGUGGGGUGCUCGAGUGGUGAACGGGUGAGUAACACGUGAGUAACCUGCCCUUGACUUUGGGAUAACUUCAGGAAACUGGGGCUAAUACCGGAUAGGAGCUCCUGCUGCAUGGUGGGGGUUGGAAAGUUUCGGCGGUUGGGGAUGGACUCGCGGCUUAUCAGCUUGUUGGUGGGGUAGUGGCUUACCAAGGCUUUGACGGGUAGCCGGCCUGAGAGGGUGACCGGCCACAUUGGGACUGAGAUACGGCCCAGACUCCUACGGGAGGCAGCAGUGGGGAAUAUUGCACAAUGGGCGGAAGCCUGAUGCAGCAACGCCGCGUGCGGGAUGGCGGCCUUCGGGUUGUAAACCGCUUUCGCCUGUGACGAAGCGUGAGUGACGGUAAUGGGUAAAGAAGCACCGGCUAACUACGUG
rnacentral:rRNA from 1 species